AGCUGCAUCUUGGGGUCCCAGGGCGCCCCAGCCCCCUUGGGAGGUCAGAGCCCCGUCUCCCUCCCAGCCCUUCCACCAGCCAGCUCUGAAACUCUCUCCCCAGCCUUUGUUCAGUUUCCUGGGCCAAGGUGUCACCUGGCCUCUAACCCCUUCCUGGGUUCUCCUGUUACACGCUCAGGUAUUCUCCCUCGGUCCGUCUCCCAUCCCCCAGUGCAGACCGUCCUAGCCACACUCCCCUGCGACCUUCCCAGCCAACACUCCCCACUCAGUAUUCACAGACCACAUUAAGGACAGUCCCAGUUCGUCGUGUAACUGGCCGCCCCGCCCCAGAGGUGGCUGCAUCUCAGCACCGGGCGAGGGGGUCCCUGUGUAACCAGCCACCCUGCCGCAGAGGGGCCGCGUCUCAGCACCAGGCAAGGGGUCUUAGCUGUCAUUCAGCUGUAGUAGGUUGUUAUCCUCUCGUCUGACAUGCCCCCACACACACCCGUAGGGGAAACUAAGCUGCGGAGUGCUGGUCCGGGUUCUGCCCCCCACCAAUGCCCCCAAUCCCGCCCCACAGGCCCAGCCCUCCCCGGGAAGAGCCCCCCAGCGAGGAGCGGAGGCGUCCUGAGACGCUGCAGAUCUGGCAGGAGAGGGAGCGGCAGCAGCAGGCGUUGCGGAGCCAGGCGCUGGAGAAGCGGGACAGGUACGUGGAGGGGGGGCGGGGCCGUGGGGGGGUCUCAGUCUCUGCCCCCCUGACCCUCUCUGCGUCUCUUACAGCCUGCCGAGGAUGGGGGCCAAAGGCAGCUUCGGCAGCGCGCAGGGCCCGGCGGCCAGCAAUGGUCUGUCGGAGAGCAGCAGCGUGCCCCGGAGGAAGCCGAGAACCCAGGUCACGGAGCAGCCGCCCGGCAUCCCCAGCCCAGCAUCCCCUGGGCAGAUGUCCCGGCAGCAGGAGUCCCUCCCUCCGCCAGUCUCCAGCCCCCCGGCCCGGGAGCCCGGCUCGGCCCAGAAGCCCAGCAGCUUCCUCUUCCGCUCCACGUCGCGGACCGCCAUCAAGCCCGGCUCCGGUAGGUGGUGCCACGCGGCUCUGCCCCCCUCUGCUGGCGGGCCAGGGUACUGCUGUGGCCCCCAGCAGCUCUGCAGGUCCGGGGUUCGAAUCCUGCCCGUGGCUGGCAGAUCUGCACGGGGCCCCUGUGUCUCCGUCCCCUGAGCCCUGCCGUCCUCUCCGCAGCCUGUGCCCCCCACGACUGCACCGCGGACCCCCAGCACCCCCUGCGGCUACGGGCCGGCUCGCACGACCUGGACGAGAAGGAGUUAACAGCUCAGCUCCGCAAGGUACAGCCAUGCCCCCCCUCAGCCCCCGGGUCCCCCCGUGAGCUCCCGGCACCGAGUCCCCUGGGUGGG
rnacentral:lncRNA from 1 species